GACGAACCGUGCGAACGUUAUUCGGAAUCACUGGGCUUAAAGGGCGCGUAGGCGGGCGGCCAAGUCAGGGGUGAAAGCCCCCAGCUCAACUGGGGAAGUGCCUUUGAUACUGGUUGUCUCGAGGGAGGUAGGGGCGUGCGGAACUUCCGGUGGAGCGGUGAAAUGCGUAGAUAUCGGAAGGAACGCCGGUGGCGAAAGCGGCGCGCUGGACCUCUUCUGACGCUGAGGCGCGAAAGCUAGGGGAGCAAACGGGG
rnacentral:rRNA from 1 species